AUCGAAGGGUCCCUAUCAAAGCCAACUCCGAUCAGAACUUGCAUAUAGGUAUUUCAUUCGAGAGGAUGCACCAUCACUUCAGCUUCUUUCGAACAAGAUCCAGAUUUUAGCAGCAAUAGAUUGAUGCUAGAGGAAGGGCCUUAACUCAACUUUGAGAAGGAGCACCAAACCACGAUUAUGGCAUCACAAAGAGCAUCCACCCGAAGAUUAAAUACCGCUGCCACCUCCCAACCAGUGGAGAAUGUGGCGGUCCAGCAAGUUCCGACGCAGCCGCAACCGAAAGUCUAGCAACCACCUCCC
rnacentral:lncRNA from 1 species